rnacentral:rRNA from 1 species
UACGUAGGGUGCAAGCGUUAAUCGGAAUUACUGGGUGUAAAGCGCGCGUAGGCGGGAGGCCAAGUCCGCUGUGAAAUCGCCCGGCUCAACUGGGCGCGGUCGGUGGAAACUGGUCACCUGGAGGACGGUAGAGGCGAGUGGAAUUCCCGGUGUAGUGGUGAAAUGCGUAGAGAUCGGGAGGAACACCAGUGGCGAAGGCGGCUCGCUGGGCCGGCCCUGACGCUGAGGCGCGAAGGCGUGGGGAGCGAAUGGG